CAUGUUUUAAUAAUACAAAAUUAUAUUACUAUAACCUACCGGAUCGUAAGUUAAUACAAUUGUGUACAAAUAUGAUUAAAGUGAUAUUUUUCUGCGUUUUUGUUCUUGUGCAAGCGCAUAAUGGUAAAAUACAAGAUGAAGGCGAAAUGCAAUCAGCGCUUAUGCCUCAGGAAUUAAACCCAGAAUUUAUUUCUGAUAAGGAUACUCCACUUCGAGCAAUAUUUCCACUACGGCAGCGUCGGGACCUUUACGACUCAUUACCAGCAUACGAAACUACAUCCUCCUUUAAGACUUAUAGCCGUGUUGUCACUUGUGUCGUUCUGGCUGUGUCGGCUCUUAUAGAAAUAAUUGUUUAUAUUAUUGAGACCUGGCUGGUGUAAAUAAAGAAUUUAUUAAAUGCU